AGCAGUAGCCACGGGAACACGGAGGGUGCAGGCGUUAAUCGGAAUUACUGGGCGUAAAGGGAGCGUAGGCGGCGUGGUAAGUCAGAUGUGAAAUCCCGGGGCUCAACCCCGGAACUGCAUCCGAUACUGCCAUGCAUGAGGGUUGGAGAGGUAGCUGGAAUUCUCGGUGUAGCAGUGAAAUGCGUGGAUAUCGAGAGGAACACUCGUGGCGAAGGCGAGCUACUGGACAACAUCUGACGCUGAGGCUCGAAGGCCAGGGUAGCGAAAGGGAUUAGAUACCCCUGUAGUCCCUGUCUCUUAUAC
rnacentral:rRNA from 1 species